CCUACGGGAGGCAGCAGUGGGGAAUAUUGCACAAUGGGGGAAACCCUGAUGCAGCGACGCCGCGUGAGUGAAGAAGUAUUUCGGUAUGUAAAGCUCUAUCAGCAGGAACGAGACAAGACGGUACCUGACUAAGAAGCCCCGGCUAACUACGUGCCAGCAGCCGCGGUAAUACGUAGGGGGCAAGCGUUAUCCGGAAUCACUGGGUGUAAAGGGAGCGUAGACGGCUGAGCAAGCCUGAAGUGAAAGGCGGGGGCCCAACCCCCGGACUGCUUUGGGAACUGUACGGCUGGAGGGCAGGAGAGGUAAGUGGAAUUCCGAGUGUAGCGGUGAAAUGCGUAGAUAUUAGGAGGAACACCAGUGGCGAAGGCGGCUUACUGGACUGUAACUGACGUUGAGGCUCGAAAGCGUGGGGAGCAAACAGGAUUAGAUACCCCAGUAGUC
rnacentral:rRNA from 1 species